AACGCUGGCGGCGCGCCUAAUACAUGCAAGUCGAGCGAGAAGGUGUAGCAAUACACUUGUGAAGCGGCGAACGGGUGAGGAAUGCAUGGGUAACCUACCCUCGAGUGGGGAAUAACUAGCCGAAAGGUUAGCUAAUACCGCAUACGUUUCCGGAACUUCGGUUUCGGAAAGAAAGCAAUACCGUGGGUAUUGCGCUCCUGGAUGGGCUCAUGUCCUAUCAGCUUGUUGGUGAGGUAACGGCUCACCAAGGCUUCGACGGGUAGCUGGUCUGAGAGGACGAUCAGCCACACUGGCACUGCGACACGGGCCAGACUCCUACGGGAGGCAGCAGUAAGGAAUAUUGCGCAAUGGACGAAAGUCUGACGCAGCGACGCCGCGUGGGGGAUGAAGGUCUUCGGAUUGUAAACCCCUUUCGGGAGGGAAGAUGGAGUGGGUAACCACUUGGACGGUACCUCCAGAAGCAGCCACGGCUAACUUCGUG
rnacentral:rRNA from 1 species